AGUGGCGGACGGGUGAGUAACACGUGAGCAACCUGCCUUAUACUGAGGGAUAGCCCUGGGAAACUGGGAUUAAUACCUCAUAAUACUAAAAUGCCGCAUGGCAAUUUAGUCAAAACUCCGGUGGUAUAAGAUGGACUCGCGUCCCAUUAGCUAGUUGGUAAGGUAAAAGCUUACCAAGGCAACGAUGGGUAGCCGGCCUGAGAGGGUGAACGGCCACACUGGAACUGACACACGGUCCAGACUCCUACAGGAGGCAGCAGUGGGGAAUAUUGCACAAUGGGGAAACCCUGAUGCUUCGACGCCGCGUGAGCGAAGAAGGCUUCCGAGUCGUAAAGCUCUGACCUAAGAGAAGAAAGAAAUGACGGUAUCUUAAGAUGAAGCCCCGGCUAACUACGUGCCAACAGCCGCGGUAAUACGUAUGGGGCGAGCGUUGUCCGGAAUCACUGGGCGUAAAAGGGUGCG
rnacentral:rRNA from 1 species